CUUCCUUGUUCGCCUAUCUCAGUUAAACUCAAACUGCUCUGUUUCUCGAUGUCUUGUACUCGAUUCUGCUCUUUUCCAUUUCUUUUCUGCUUUUUAAGCUAAUUGAUUCCCCCCCCCCGCCCCCGGAAAAAAAAAGGAACAAUGGCCUCCAUUCGUCGCCGAAAACCCGUCGAACCCAGGAACACCUCACUACAAAAAGAGGAUGAGGAUGAGGAGGAAGAAGUACAGGAGGACUAUAGCAAAAACAAACACCACAGGAAGAGUGACAAAAAAUCCAAACCAAAAUGGUCAUGUGUGGACAACUGUUGUUGGAUUGUUGGGUGCAUAUGCGUAACCUGGUGGACUUUAUUGUUUCUAUACAACGUUAUGCCUGCUUCUCUCCCUCAAUAUGUGACUGAGGCAAUCACGGGUCCUUUGCCUGAUCCACCUGGUGUAAAGUUGAGGAAAGAAGGACUCAAGGCAAAACAUCCUGUGGUUUUUGUUCCUGGAAUUGUAACUGCAGGGCUUGAGCUGUGGGAAGGGCAUCAGUGUGCUGACGGGUUGUUUAGGAAAAGGCUUUGGGGUGGAACUUUCGGUGAAGUGUAUAAAAGGCCUCUCUGCUGGGUAGAACAUAUGUCUCUAGACAAUGAAACUGGAUUGGAUCCUCCUGGUAUAAGGGUCAGGCCUGUCUGUGGACUUGUGGCAGCCGAUUACUUUGCUCCUGGAUAUUUUGUUUGGGCAGUUUUGAUUGCUAAUUUGGCACGCAUUGGAUAUGAGGAGAAGACAAUGUACAUGGCAUCAUAUGACUGGAGACUUUCAUUUCAGAACACUGAGGUCCGUGACCAAACAUUAAGCCGCAUCAAGAGUACUAUUGAACUUAUGGUUGAAGCAAAUGGUGGAAACAAGGCCGUUAUUAUACCACAUUCCAUGGGUGUUCUGUACUUUCUGCAUUUUAUGAAGUGGGUGGAGGCACCAGCUCCAAUGGGUGGUGGGGGUGGUCCAGAUUGGUGUGCUAAGCAUAUCAAGGCAGUGAUGAAUAUUGGUGGACCAUUUUUAGGCGUUCCAAAAGCUGUCUCUGGACUUUUCUCUGCUGAAGCGAAGGAUAUUGCAGUUGCCAGGGCCAUCGCACCUGGUGUCUUGGACAAUGGCUUUCAGACAAUGCAACAUAUAAUGAGAAUGUCUCGCACAUGGGAUUCAACCAUGUCAAUGAUUCCUAAAGGUGGAGACACUAUUUGGGGUGAUCUUGAUUGGUCGCCUGAGGAAGGAUAUACUCCCAUGAAGAGUAAGCAAAGAAACACUGACACCCAGAAAGCAAGCCAAGAUGGCCCUGAAAGUGAGAUCUCUCAAACGAAGAGAGCUAAUUAUGGAAGGAUCAUAUCAUUUGGGAAAGAUGUAGCUGAGGCACUUUCAUCUGACAUUGAGAGGAUUGACUUCAGGGAUGCUGUUAAAGGCCAAAGUGUUGCAAACACCUCCUGUCGUGAUGUGUGGACAGAGUACCAUGACAUGGGAUUUGGAGGUAUUAAAGCUGUUGCAGAAUAUAAGGUUUAUACUGCUGAAUCUAUGAUAGAUCUGCUGCGCUUUGUUGCCCCAAAGAUGAUGGAGCGUGGCAGGGCUCCUUUCUCUUAUGGAAUUGCUGACAAUUUUGAUGAUCCAAAAUACCAGCACUACAAAUAUUGGUCAAACCCCUUGGAGACAAAAUUGCCCAACGCCCCAGAAAUGGAGAUUUUCUCCCUGUAUGGAGUGGGCGUACCAACUGAAAGAGCUUAUGUUUACAAGUUAUCUCCUUCAGCUGAGUGCGCUAUUCCAUUUCAGAUUGAUACAUCAGCUGAUGAACAAGAUGAAGACAGCUGUCUGAAAGGUGGAGUCUAUUCUGUUGAUGGGGAUGAGACUGUUCCUGUUUUAAGUUCAGGUUUAAUGUGUGCUAAAGGUUGGCGUGGGAAAACGAGAUUCAAUCCUUCAGGAAGUCGAACGUACAUUAGAGAGUAUGCUCAUUCUCCUCCAGCAAACUUCUUAGAAGGCCGGGGCACCCAAAGUGGUGCUCAUGUUGAUAUAAUGGGAAACUUUGCUUUGAUUGAGGAUAUAAUGAGAGUGGCAGCUGGUGCUACAGGAGAAGAGUUGGGGGGUGAUCAAGUUUAUUCAGAUAUAUUUAAGUGGUCUGAGAAGAUCCAUCUACAACUGUGAUUGCAAGUGGUAUGUACCUUCUGAUGUGGGACCGAUUUUUUUCUUUUUGAGAGUGAAUUUUUCUUUUGGUUCUUGCUGUUCGUCCAGGUCUUGUAUUCUGGUCUGAGCAUUUGUGGCAAUAUCCAUUCUAGAGUCUUGACCAUAGCUACUACAACCUUAUCCUUGUCCUUGUUGCUCCAUGUCCAUGUUGUGGAUGACGUCAAUCUUCAUGGAUCCAGCAAAUCGUGGAUGGAUUUCUAGCAAUAUUGGAUCUUUCAUUUCAAUGUCAAGCUACUUUCUUCUGCUAUUUGAUUUGGAGCCAAUGUUUCCUUCCAAGUUGCCGCUGCCCUAUGCCUGUUGGUUUGGUGUUCCUAUUUGUUGUUGACUUUCUCGUACUGGACAUUGGGACAAGAGGUGUGAGGCUUCAGGACAAUGUUAGUGAUUCAGUCUUGACAGACCUUCUGUGAGUUUGUGCUUGUCCUGAACAUUAGAGAUUGAAGACAACGCAGGCAAUGGAAUCGAAGCUUGUUGAUUUCUUCUUUAAAAGUAAUAGUAAAGGAAGCAGCAGAGCUGGUUACAAGUUAAUGGAUCAGUGGACAUAAACUGAAUCGCAGCUACUAUCUUUGUUGUUUCUCACGCUUGAUUAUUAUUGGUUAAUAUUCACCAAUUGCAUUUGUAUAAUUCCUAUCUCUGUGUUCUUACAUGUGAAAAUGUAUUGAAAGGAAAUGAUGGAGCUCA